UUGAGCUUUCCCGGGCAGGAACUUCCUGGGGCUGCAGUCAGCCUAGAAACAUGGCUUUGGGCUGUGGAAACGCUGCUACUGUGGAAGUCUCUUAUCGCGGGGUGGACGCGGUCGCUACGCGCCCAGCCUUCUUCUGUGGUUCUCACAGCCCGCCCCCACUUCCAUCUCGGGGACCUUUGCGGGGAGGCCUCAGGGCACUUUCCUCCGCUCUCUCAGGCACGUCCUUGACCUCAGUUGCCACGUGCACAUGCUGGUGCCUUCCAGGCUGGAGUAUAGUGGCAUGAUCAUAGAUCACUGCAGCCUCAAACUCCUGGGCUCAAGCAAUCCUCCCACCUCAGCCUCCAUAUAGCUGGUGGGGAUCAAGUUUCUAACACAUGAAUCUUGGGAGACACAUUCAGACCAUCACAGUGGCCUUAUAAAAAGAGACACAAGGGCUUGCUCUCUGCCAUGUGAGUAUACCACAAGAAGACUGUCCUCAGCAAAUCAGAGAGCAGGUGGACCCUCAUCAGACACCAGAUGUGCCUGCACCUUUAUCUUGGACUUGCCAGCCUUCAGAACAGUAAGAAAGAAAUGUGUGUUGUUUAAGCCGCCCAGUCUAUGGAAACUUGUUAUAGCACCCCACUAAGAGACCCCAAGAUAUUUAAAAACUCAUCAGCACCUGCCUUCUGCAUCUGGAUCCUGAUCUUCUGGCGGGUUUACCAGUUACUUGCAGAGUGUCCCUGUGAUAGUUUUAGGUGUCAACUUGACAGGACUGAGGGAUGCCUAGAUGGCUGGGGAAGCACUGUUUCUGAGAAGGACCAUGUUUUUGGAAGAGACUGUUUUAU
rnacentral:lncRNA from 1 species